AUUGAACGCUGGCGGCAUGCUUUACACAUGCAAGUCGAACGGCAGCGCGGGCUUCGGCCUGGCGGCGAGUGGCGAACGGGUGAGUAAUGCAUCGGAACGUGCCCAGUAGUGGGGGAUAGCCCGGCGAAAGCCGGAUUAAUACCGCAUACGACCUGAGGGUGAAAGCGGGGGACCGAAAGGCCUCGCGCUAUUGGAGCGGCCGAUGUCGGAUUAGCUAGUUGGUGGGGUAAAGGCUUACCAAGGCGACGAUCCGUAGCUGGUCUGAGAGGACGACCAGCCACAAUGGGACUGAGACACGGCCCAGACUCCUACGGGAGGCAGCAGUGGGGAAUUUUGGACAAAGGGGGCAACCCUGAUCCAGCCAUGCCGCGUGCGGGAAGAAGGCCUUCGGGUUGUAAACCGCUUUUGUUCGGGAAGAAAUCCUCUGGGCUAAUACCCCGGGGGGAUGACGGUACCGGAAGAAUAAGCACCGGCUAACUACGUG
rnacentral:rRNA from 1 species